CUCACGUUUAUUCAUAGAAAAUGAAGCAAAUGCUCCAUAUUUUAGAAGUAUGAGCAAAUGCUCAACUUUAUUCAUAUGGCCCUAUAUAAUAUCAUUUUAAAUUUCGAAAUCAUAAUAUUUUCAGUAUUGGUUUUCUAUUCUAAUUGACAGGCUUCAUCAACAAUUCAUUCAAAAGAAACUUUUUCCAUUCUUUCCAAAAAAUAUUGGCAGUUCAUGAAUAUUCACUAUUGUACGAGAGAAUCAAAAUUCUCUUGAUCGAGAGAAUCGAUCAACAAAUUUUUCAAUAAUUGAGAAGCAUACUGUCUCUAUUGUCACAUCUAUUCAAAUUCAUAAAGUGUUUUAUUGAUAUAGGUAUGCUUGAUUUUUUCCAGAUUAUAAUCAACUUUUACUUAUUCAGUAGGCUUAUUUAUCUUGAAUGAUUUGCACAUCAUUCGCAGAAAAAUACUGAUGAAUACGAAAGUGUAUAAUUCACUAUCAUCGUUCACCUUACUAAUGUUAUUGAAUUGAGAACUAGUUUAUGUAGAGAGAUUACUCAGCAUUAUCAAACAGGAGAUACCAGUGCAACCAGUGUGGGAAAAGUUAUAAAGAAAAGAAAAGUUUGAAUAAACAUCAGAAGUAUGAGUGUGGCAUUGAACCGCAAUUCCAAUGUCCCUAUUGUCCUCAUCGGACCAAACAGAAAGGCCAUCUAAAAGCUCACAUUGGUGUCAUACAUGGCCCAAAUUUCAUUUAGAAUCUUUUUAACUAUAAUAUAAUACCUAAAUCUUUAUCAAAUAUGAAUUACUUGUCCUUACCAAUCUUAGUUUUAAAGAGAUUAAGAUAUUGGUAAUGGCCAAAAUUUCAAUUAGAGUCUUCGAAAUAUUCACGACUUUUCUAUUAAAUGUUAAUUCUUUUCCCAUUGAUAAUUUGUUUGUCCAUUUUUUAUCGGUGGAAAAUAUAGUUGAAUUGAAUUGAUUCAUUCACUUCACCAUUUAUCAAACAAUGCGAUUUUCUAGAUUAUGAUUCUAUGUGUUAAUGUUCAUCCACCAUCUCAUCACUGAACAAAAUUGAAUAGAAAUUCCAAUUUGAAUUUAUUUCCCUAGUGAAUAUUAAUUCUGUGUGAUAAAUUUUAUCCGAAGUGAAAAAAUAGAAAUAACUUGAGUUUUUGAGCGACAAUAAUAUUUCUUCCUGCUGGUAUUUGCAGACCAUGAAGUUAAGAGAACGACUUCCAUAAAUGUUUUGAAGAAAAGUUUAUUUGGUUGAAGUCUGCUUUCUCCAUAUACUUCAGUUGUUCCAAUAUAUUUCAUUCUCAUUUCUUGUGAAAUUUAGAGCAUCCAUUGUCUUUGUUAUUGUCAGUAUAAAUAUGCUACGCCCACAAACGUGAUUGUUAUUUUUCCACUCCAAAGUUUAUUCCAUUCAAUUAUGUUAAAAAUGACUGUGUUUAAUUUUAUUUUUCUCUUAGAAACAUGACAAUGUUCUACCAGUACUUACUUGUGUGUUCUUUUAGGGCUCUCUUCCUUUCAGAUAUCUUAUUCCUAUUGUUCAAUCAAUUAAAUUAAAUUAGAAACGAAGUAUCACUUGUUCCACUAGAAAUACUUUUCGAAGUUAAUUUGAAUUAUUCUCUAUCACUCCACAUUAAUAGAGCAUAAUAAAUGUUUUCUUCAUUCUAUAAAGUGAUUAGUUCACUGUCUUUCCUCUUACCUAAAGUUUACUGUCUUACCUCCACAUCUUCCACCAAACUUUCCCUAUUCACUUAUUCAUUCUCUCAUAUGAUUCCAUUCAAUUCUAUGUUCUAUUCCAUAAAAACACUUAAUUUUUUGAAUCUUAAUCUAUUUUUUCUGCCUACUCUUCCUCUAUUCUAUACACAUUAUUUCUAAUUCGUCUCAUUAAGGUGCGUACAGACUUAAGCCCCACGAACACGCGCAUUUCACUUUUCAUCAGCUGAUGCUAAGUUUAUUAUAUCUGUAUUUGUACAGAAACAGUAAGAUAAAGAUUUUGAUAAACAUAUCAUCAGCUGAUGAAAAAGUGAAAUGCGCGUGUUCGUGGCACAUAGGUAUGUACGCUCCUUCAUUUAUAUAUGAAUUGGGUAAAUUUAAUGCUAAAAGCUUCACCUUCAGCAUGCAUUGAAGAACUCUAACAAAUUUCUCUGUAUUUUUGGACAAUUUACUAAUAAAAUUUUUUAACCAGUUUCUGUGUAUUUUUGCAGAUCGAUCAGUAUUUUUGAACAGGAGAUAUGAGUGCAACCAGUGUGGAAAGCACUAUAAAGAGAAAAGAAGUUUGCGUCUACAUCAGAAGUAUGAGUGUGGCAUUGAACCUCAGUUCCAGUGUCCCUACUGCCCACAUCGAUCCAAACAGAGAGGUCACCUUAGAACCCACAUUGGUCUCAAACAUGGCCCAAAAAUAAUCUAGAAUCUCUCAUAUGUUUUGGAAUCCUUAAGUGGGUGUAGUAUACGAAACAUUCAAACCACCGCUCUGUUUUCAUUGUACUAAACAGAUUCGCAACCUUAUCAAACAAUCAAACAGCAAUAACUGCACUGUUAUUAUUGUGCUAUAAACAGAGAUGAAAACUUUAAGUUCAUUUUGGUGUAAGAAAUGCUACAGAAUUAUGUGUUACUUAUUACCGUAAACAAUAUUAAAAGGUCAAUCACUACUA
rnacentral:lncRNA from 1 species